rnacentral:rRNA from 1 species
UACGUAGGGGGCAAGCGUUGUCCGGAUUUAUUGGGCGUAAAGAGCGUGUAGGCGGCCAUACAGGUCAGCUGUGAAAACUCGAGGCUCAACCUCGAGACGUCGGUUGAAACCACCUGGCUAGAGUCCGGAAGAGGAGAGUGGAAUUCCCGGUGUAGCGGUGAAAUGCGCAGAUAUCGGGAAGAACACCCGUGGCGAAGGCGGCUCUCUGGGACGGUACUGACGCUGAGACGCGAAAGCGUGGGGAGCGAACAGG